rnacentral:rRNA from 1 species
AUGAUGCAGCAGCUGCAGCCGACGCGGAUGCACUGGGCGAGGGCCGUCCCCUCCGACUUCGGCGGCCAAGCCCCCGCCCCUCGCAGCGGGCACACGGCGGUCGCCAUCGGCGGGUCCAAGGUCGUCGUCUUCGGCGGGUUCGCCGACAAGCGCUUCCUCGCCGACAUCGCCGUCUACGACGUCGAGAACAGGCUAUGGUACACGCCGGAGUGCAGCGGCAGCGGCCCGGACGGGCAGCCAGGCCCCAGCCCGAGGGCCUUCCACGUCGCCGUGGUCAUCGACUGCAACAUGUUUAUCUUCGGCGGCCGCUCCGGGGGCAAGAGGGAUUCAGCGACCACUAAGCACUCUCAAUAUGUCUCGGUGCUUCUUUUGCGUUCAGACAUUUGGCAGUGGUCGGAGAUGACUGGCUUUGGCGAUUUGCCAUCUCCCCGGGAGUUUGCUGCCGCAUCAGCCAUAGGAAACAGAAAAAUUGUCAUGUAUGGUGGUUGGGAUGGCAAAAAGUGGCUGUCUGAUGUAUAUGUCAUGGACACAAUGUCACUUGAGUGGACAGAACUAGCAGUUACUGGAUCAGCGCCACCUCCAAGAUGCGGACAUUCUGCCACUAUGAUUGAGAAGAGGCUGCUUAUAUUUGGAGGCAGAGGUGGAACUGGGCCGAUAAUGGGUGAUCUCUGGGCUUUAAAGGGUAUCACUGAAGAAGAUAAUGAGACACCAGGAUGGACACAAUUAAAGCUGCCAGGUCAAUCUCCCUCUGCACGAUGUGGCCAUUCAGUGACUUCUGGUGGACCUUAUCUCUUGCUAUUUGGUGGACAUGGAACUGGCGGUUGGCUAAGUAGAUAUGAUGUGUACUACAACGAAUGUGUUAUUUUAGACAGGGUCUCUGUUCAAUGGAAGCGCUUACCAACAAGUAAUGAGCCACCCCCUCCUCGGGCAUAUCAUUCUAUGACUUGCAUAGGGCCUCGGUUUCUUUUAUUUGGUGGCUUUGAUGGAAAGAAUACCUUUGGCGAUUUGUGGUGGCUUGUUCCUGAAGAUGAUCCUAUUGCCAAGCGGGACUUGGUUCCUAGUGUUGGUUCAGACAGCAACCAUAGCACUGUGACUGGUGAUGCCCAACAGUCUGCAUUGAAGGAAUCAGAAUCACAAUCUGAUGAAUCUCCGAUGUUGGAGUUGGCCAAACGAUUGGGGAUUCCACUUUAUGUAGAACCUUCAGCAAGUUUUGUUGACGAAAUCAACGAUAAAGAACUAAUGGAAUUAUCAUCUAGGCUCAUUGGUGAAUCACUUCCUACCACCGACCAGCUUGCAUGUAUUCAGGCACUUCGUGAUCAUUGGAGAAGUUCUCCAUCCAGCUCAAUACAGCUCCAGGAGCUAGGCCCUCUGCUGAGGGACUAUCAACGUCUCAUUAUUCGCCGCUUUGUGGAAAGCCCAUCCCCGGCAUUCCUUGAAAGGGAAGAUCGCCGCCUCUUCCAUUUGAAAAAUGCCUCGCAGUUGCGCAUGGAUGACAUCCCCAUCUUGCUGGGCGAGUAUAGAACUCUGCUUUCCACCUGA